CACUGGCUUCGGCAGCACAGACACUAAACUGGGCGGAGACAGGAAAGAUUAGCAUGGCCCCUGCACUAGGAUGAUGUGCAAAUCCAUAACGUGUUCCAUACUUUU